CUCAGGUCCCAUGGUGCAGUGCACUGCAGUGCAGCAGGGUGCAGCGAGCUCCUUCUAUUCCAUCGUCGACGAUGAUGAAGCGACCCGUUGCGGCCGACCGACGAGCCCGGCAGCAUCGUCUGCUCCCCCUUCUGGUCUUCCCCGCCUUCUUCCUCUUCAUCAUCGCGCCGUGCGCCCUCUUCUUGUUCAGGACAUCCGCAUCGAGUAUGACCGCCGCGACGCUCUAUCCAUCGCACCUAGAAAUGAGCCGCUGCCAGCACAGCCAGUGCCACUGCCAUCGCGCCACCACUGUUGCCAGCACCACCGCCUUCGGGUCUAGGUGCGGACGAUGAUGAGGCGGAGCCGUGACGGCUGCCGCCUCCGCGCCAGCUGACGGACCCACCGUACUCGCUCGGCCCGACCGUCGACUACAAGGCGCACAGGGCUAGUGGCUCCACGACAA
rnacentral:misc_RNA from 1 species